UUCCGGUUGAUCCUGCCGGACCUGACUGCUAUCGGAUUGGUACUAAGCCAUGUGAGUCAUUGUAGCAAUACAAGGCAGACGGCUCAGUAACACGUAGUCAAUCUACCCUAUGGACGGGGAUAACCUCGGGAAACUGAGGAUAAAACCCGAUAGAUCAUAGUGCCUGGAACGGCUUAUGGUCCAAAUGAUUCGUCGCCGUAGGAUGGGACUGCGGCCUAUCAGCUUGUUGGUGAGGUAAUGGCCCACCAAGGCUAUUACAGGUACGGGCUCUGAGAGGAGAAGCCCGGAGAUGGGUACUGAGACACGGACCCAGGCCUUAUGGGGCGCAGCAGGCGAGAAACCUUUGCAAUGUGCGCAAGCACGACAAGGUUAAUCCGAGUGUUUCCUGCUAAAGGAAUCUUUUGUUAGUCUUAAAAUCACUAUUGAAUAAGGGGUGGGCAAGUUCUGGUGUCAGCCGCCGCGGUAAAACCAGCACCUCAAGUGGUCAGGAGGAUUAUUGGGCCUAAAGCAUCCGUAGCCUGUUCUGUAAGUUUCCGGUUAAAUCCAUUAGCUCAACUAAUGGGCCGCCGAAAAUACUGCAGAACUAGGGAGUGGGAGAGGUAGACGGUACUCGGUAGGAAGGGGUAAAAUCCUUUGAUCUAUUGAUGACCACCUGUGGCGAAGGCGGUCUACCAGAACACGUUCGACGGUGAGGGAUGAAAGCUGGGGGAGCAAACCGGAUUAGAUACCCGGGUAGUCCCAGCUGUAAACGAUGCAGACUCGGUGAUGCGCUGGCUUGUGGCCAGUGCAGUGCCGCAGGGAAGCCGUUAAGUUUGCCGCCUGGGAAGUACGUACGCAAGUAUGAAACUUAAAGGAAUUGGCGGG
rnacentral:rRNA from 1 species